UUUAGCUUUAAACGAGCUCAGCAACACCGUCGCCAUCUCGUGUGAAGAAACGUCCACCGAUUGUUUCAGCAGCAGAAAUAACUAAAACCUCCACAACUUCCACACAUAUACAACAAUACAACGCUGUAUUCGUCACGUCUGAUUAUUUCUGCGUGGCGGAGGAUACUGUGGAUAAAAAGGACGAAGAGGAGGAAGAGGAGGAAGAAGCUCACGGCGCUGUGCGUCGGCUAACAGCGGAGGAAUCACUCGGCUCUCCGUUUAUGUUUCCUCCACUUCAGAGACAUGUUGGACGGCUCUCCGGCUCACGGCGAUGAAGCCAACAUCGGCAACGUGGAGAACAACAGCCCGGUGUCGGUGCUGUCGAGCGGCGACGGGCUGAACAACAAAACGAGGCAGAAAGAGCUGCUGAAGAAAGGAGGGAGGAAGCUGCGGUCGACGGCGCCGCUGCAUCACCAGAAAGCCCCGAGAAACGGUCCAAACAACAACAUCCGCCUGUCCGACCACAACAACAACAACACCCUGACGGUACCGAGCCCCGGUACCGAGCCGUCCGCCGGUACGCAGACCGCACUGAGCCUCCAUCACCUCAAACAGGAGGCCAAGAAAGAGCUGCUGAACUCCAAAGGUGGCAGAUUGGAGCGAGGGACCAUGCAGCCGGGUGGCCAACCCGCCUGCAACCUGCCCAGACCUGAUCAGGUCACCCAGAACGGGAUCACGCGGAGCCACAAGCCCAAGCAGGCCCAAAGCGCCGCCGCCUGUCCCGCCACGAAGAAGAAAGAUAACAGCAGCCCGAACAAGCCUUCUCCGCUCCGCCAGCCUCCGCUCCGAGAGCAGAAAAAGCCCCUCCACGCCUCCAACAACGUGAAGAUCUUGAACACGCCGCCCGCCGAAGCUGCGCUCGAAUACCUCAAAGACGGCGAGAAGGUCUACGCCGGCGCGAAGUUCAGCGAGCCGCCCUCACCGAGUGUCCUACCUAAACCGCCCAGCCACUGGGUCGGAGAAAACGAGCCUCAACAGAGCAACCAAAGCCGAGAGCAAAUGACCGUUCACCUGAAGUCGCUGCUGAAGGUUCAGGAUAAGUCGUGACCUCAGAUCGGAGCCGACCUAUCCGACGUGUGAUUCGCACAGAAUGCCGACAAUUGGAAAAUGAGCAUUGAUUGAAAUUAAGUUUGGCCUUUAACACACUGCAAUACAAUAUAGGGAGUUUUUUUUAUAUAUACUGUAGUACAAUUUACCAUAAUUCAACAUGCUGCCUGUAUUCGUGCACAUUUUUGAGAUGUCCUGUUGUUGCUGGAGCUCCGACCGACCGCGCUUAUUCUGCCUUCUCGCUGGCAGAGGAAAGAGGGAGCAAUGCUUGUGUCGUGAUUGAUUCGCGAAAAAACGUAACUGUGAGGAAGUCGAGGUCGUCUCCAGCAGCGACGCGGCCGGUGUCUCAGGUUUACAUUAUGUAAAGUGACGACGGCACUUUUCUUCGUGAGCACUUGUGAAAAAGGGCAGCCUCGCGUUGAUUUGACUUUUUAAAGAGUAAAUGUACAUAAUAUAGUGUGAACAUAUAUUUGUGUAUAUUUUUGCUCGUUGUUUUAACUGAGAUUCUAGUUUUGUUACUGAGGUUUUUCCAAAAAAAAAAAAAAAAAGAAAACUAAAAA